rnacentral:rRNA from 1 species
CCUACGGGUGGCAGCAGUGGGGAAUAUUGGACAAUGGGCGAAAGCCUGAUCCAGCCAUGCCGCGUGUGAGAAGAAGGCCUUCGGGUUGUAAAGCACUUUCAGUGGGGAAGAAAGCCUUGGGGCUAAUACCCUCGAGGAAGGACAUCACCCACAGAAGAAGCACCGGCUAACUCCGUGCCAGCAGCCGCGGUAAUACGGAGGGUGCGAGCGUUAAUCGGAAUUACUGGGCGUAAAGCGCGCGUAGGCGGUCUGAUAAGCCGGUUGUGAAAGCCCCGGGCUCAACCUGGGAACGGCAUCCGGAACUGUCAGGCUAGAGUGCAGUAGAGGAAGGUAGAAUUCCCGGUGUAGCGGUGAAAUGCGUAGAGAUCGGGAGGAAUACCAGUGGCGAAGGCGGCCUUCUGGACUGACACUGACGCUGAGGUGCGAAAGCGUGGGUAGCAAACAGGAUUAGAUACCCUUGUAGUC